GACAACCUCCACAGAGGGCGGCAGCCCCUCCAUCACACUGAUCCACCCACAGAAUUCUGCCCAGUUACCUUGGGCCCACCAGUCACAACAAGCUGUGCAGUACACACCAAAAUUCCACCUGGAAUCCAAACGGUACCUGCCAUCCCCAAUGGUUGCUACAUCUUGUCAGUGUUUGGGAGGGGCUGCAUCAGACGAGAGGUUCCUAAGACGUCAGGAAUCUUGGACCCGUUCUUGGAGCAGAGAAUUGAGUACCUUCCUCAAGUGCACGUAGGUGUUCCACAGGUUUCUGCCAUUAUCAGCGAGGCUCAAUAUAUCUCGUGAUUUUCUUUCUUGCCUGGGAUCCUCUGCAGAAGUCUCCAUGCCAGUAUUCUCCAUUGUAGGAGAACAACCAUCAUCAAUGUGUUCGCAUCUCUCCUCAAUCCAUGCAGCCAAAUUUUCUGCCAGGUUCUCUUCGUGUCUCCCAUAAAGUCGACUUCUACAGGACUGGGCAUGUCUAACAGUACCUCGGAGCCUCACCAGUAAGCUGAUGACAGGCAGAUCUUCCACUGUCUGACUUUUCAAUUUCUAGAAACUGACCCAUGAUCUCAGGCCACUGGGCAGCAACAGUAUCUCGAACUUACAGAGCUUCCUAAACAAUAGACUUAAGCCAAGCUCCACAGAGUGUGGCAACCCCACCAUGACACUGAUUCACCCACCGAGCUCUGCCAAGUUACCUUGGAUCCACCAGCUCAUAACAAGCCUCAUGGAACAAACCAACAUUCCACCUGGAAUCUAACCAGUAACUGCCAUCCUCAAUUGUUGCUGCAUUUUUACAGUGUUGGUGAAGUGGCUGCAUCAGACGACAGGUAUUUAAGGUUUUCUGAGGCAUCAUUCUGUCUUUGGAAGUAAGAGACCACUCUUUGUCAAGUGUCCUGGACCAUGGGCUGGGUGAGUGGAUGUUUAUUUUGCUGUGUACAUGGGAGCAAGUGGGCACUGUUUGCACAGGUACUCUGCCAAUUGGCUAUGAAUAAAUCAACACUUUCCAUAUAUAACACACAGAAAUGUGAUUCUUGUUUAUCUCUUUUUCUAUAAAGCCAUGGUGGGAGGGAUUCUCCAAAGAAUCCAGUUUUGACAUUGUGUUGAUACCUCAGUUGCGGUCUUUCAAAAUGUUAAUAGAAUUGAUGUACAAAUUGGGGAUUUAUAUGAAAAUGAAGUUAGUUUUUGAAACAUACUAAAUCUACCUACAAGCCAGACUUGUCAAAUUCAGGUAACAUUUUGUCAGCUCUAAGGGAAACAUAGACAGAUAGAAUGUAAAAUAGCAGUCCAAAAUGAUGAAGGUGUCAUGUCAACUGUUUACUGUUGAUGUCUGCAAUACAAACAGGAACCAUGAAAUAAAUAUUGGAACCAUGAAAUAACCCCAACCCAGUGUUUCCAUUUUGCAUGUGGUGCCCUUUCUCCCAGUGACUCAUACUGGCCAAUGUUGUCAUUUCAAUGGGUAACAUUUCUCUCUAGGAAGACACAAGCAACCCAAACCACUUAUUUAAAUAUAGGCUUGGUUCCAAGACACCUAGAGGCAUUAUAGCUAUGAGAAAACUGCUGCAGCUUUGCUAGACUAUUGAGAAACAGGUUCUCUUUUAUCAACGAUGAGAAUGGUAAAUCAUCUGAUCGUGUUGGGUAAAGCAAUUUAAGCCAACUAAGUGGGCACCCCGUGAUAUACUGCACCCGGGACUUGAACGAAGGGAAAAGACGGUCCACAUAACUUGUGUCCUUAUAUGUAUAUGGCGACUUUUAAACUUCAGUUCACUAACUGACUUAUAAUAGUUACCUACACUGUCUUGAAAAGCUGAGGAAAAAUACUUAUUCAAGUUCAGUCAAAUAAUCCCCUCGCUUGCCAAACUCUCUUCACCCAAAUAAGAUGUAACCCCAGCACUUGCUAAAUCAAGGGGUAGAUAAUCAUUUCUUUGUGUGAGCUAUAUAUUGAAACCCUAUCUAUUUUAUUUGAGAGUAUUUGACCUUUGAGGAGUUCAGUGUUGUGCACAGAGUGUGAAGUUGGAGGAACUCUGGUUCUAGGAGGGGCUUGCUAUUCUCCUUCUGGCUGCAUUGCAGCUCAGGGUCUGAUCCUUUGAAAUGGAUGCCUGAGUGGAGGGGAGGGAAGAGAAAUUGCUUGAUAGCUAAGCCAAAACUUGGGAAAAGGUUUAUCAGGGCUUCAUGCUCUGUGGUCUGUGAGAUUUGUAAAUGCCCCUUGGGAUGUGUGGAUUCUCACGACCUCUUCCAGGAACAUGAGUGGUUUUAUCAUCUUUGCCAUCUCUUCUCUUUUAGACGUCAGGAGUCUUGGGCCACUUCUUAGAGCAGAGAAUUUAGUACAUUCCUCAAAUGCACGUUGACUCUCCACAGUUUUAUGUUAGUAUCAGCGAGUCUCAAUAUGUCUCAUGAAUGACUUUCGAGCCUGGUAUUCUCUAAAGUAGUCUCCAUGAGAGUAUACUCAAUUGUAGCAGAACAACUCUCAUCAAUGUGUUCGCAUCUCUCCUCAAUCCGUGCAGCCAGCCUUUCUGCCAGCUUCUCUUCGUGUCUCCCAUAAAGUCGACUUCUACAGGACUGGUUUCUAGAAAAUGACCCAUGAUCUCAGGCCAUUGGGCAGCAUCAGUAUCUCGAAAUAACACAUCUUCCUGAAGAAUACACCUAAGCCAAGCUCCACAGAGGGCAGCAGCCCCUCCAUGACACUGAUUCACCCACAGAGCUCUGCCCAGAUACCUUGGAUCCACCAGCCUCAACAAGCCUUGUGGAACACACAACAAUUCCACCUGGAUUCAAACCGGUUUUCUGAGGCCUCAUUCUCUUUUGGAACUAAGGGACCACUCUUCAGCAUGUGUCCUGAACCAAGGGCUUCACGUCAGGAAUCUUGGACCACUUCUUGGAGCAGAGAAUUGAGUACCUUCCUCAAGUAAACGUUGACCCUCCACAGGUUUCUGCUAGUAUCAGUGAGGCUCAACAUGACUCAUGAAAGUCUUUCAAGCCUGGUAUUCUCUAAAGAAGUCUUCAUGCCAGUAUUCUCUAUUGUAGCAGAACAACUCUCAUCAAUGUGUUCGCACGUUUCCUCAAUCUGUGCAGCCAGGUUUUCUGCCAGCUUCUCUUCGUGUCUCCAUUAAAGUCGACUUCUACAGCACUGGGCAAGUCUGAAAGUACCUCACAGCCUCACCGGUAUGCUGAUGAUGGGCAGAUCUUCCACAGUCUGUCUUUUCAGUUUCUUGAAACUGACCCGUGAUCUCAGGCCAUUGGGAAACAGCAGUAUCUCGAACUUACAAAUCUUUCCGAAAUUAGACCUAAGCCAAGCUCCACAGAGGGUGGCAGUCCCUUCAUGACACUGAUCCACCCACAGAGCUCUGUCCAGUUAACUUGGGUCCACCAGCCACAACAAGCCUGGUUGAACACACCAAUAUUCCAUCUGGAAAGCAACCAGUAACUGCCAUCUCCAAUAUUUGCUGCAUCUUUCCAGUGUUGGGGGAGGGGCUGCAUCAGACGAGAGAUUCCUAAGAUAAAAGUGAUUCUCUCCAAUAGCGUCCCAUGGUCCUUUUUUUCCUACCCUCUUUCCUUUAGUUCAGAACUCUAUACACAGUACAAAAUAGGGAAGUGUGUUCAUGUUAAUUUUAUGGUUCCACACAUCUUUAACUUUUCUCACAGUUAAAAGUACAAAAAGACCCCACUAUAGGAAUCUUAUGUUUGUGUAAUAGCCUUUCACCCAGAAUACACAUCCGUCUGUUGCUUUUCGGCUGAAACACCCACAUUCCCAGAAAAUGGAUCCAUUUGAUUCAUGGCGGCUGAAAUUCCUAGAAAUUAAUCCAAUCACAAUGUACACUUUACUGUCUGUCUCUUUUGCUCUUAGUGCAGUUUUGUAGAGCUACUUGUCUUUGUUAAAGGCAUAUGCCAUUUAUUCUCUAUGUAGGG